GUCGGUGUUAUACUAGUAGUUUGAGACCAAUCCCGUUUUGGCAUAGUAGUUAUAUAAAAUUAUUUUGCGACACGCACUUAAGCUUGUUGAGCAUACUUAGAAUUGGAGUUGCAUUUAAUACGCAUUAUAUCAGAUAUGGAAUCGUUUAUACCGUCGUUUGCACUUACUAAAGUCCCGUUUGGGCAUAACCUUGGUUUAUUUAAUAUAUUCUAUUUUAUUUCAGAGAUAAGUCCCGAUUGGGCCCUCUCAUAUGCAUAUGUGAGUCCCGUCUUGGGCAUUAUAUUGAUUUAUUAUUUGUUCUUAAUGAAGAGAUAAGUCCCGUUUGGGCCUUCUAACACAUUAACACAAGUCCCGUUUGGGCAUUGUAUUGUUUUACUUUUGAAGAGAUAAGUCCCGAUUGGGCAUUUAGCACGCAUACACUGAAGUCUCGUUUGAGCAUUAUUCUGUUUUAUUUUGUUCGUUUCGAUUCGACAGAGAUAAGUCCCGCUUGGGCCUCUAGCACG
rnacentral:lncRNA from 1 species